rnacentral:rRNA from 1 species
GAUGAACGCUGGCGGCGUGCCUAAUACAUGCAAGUCGAGCGAACAGACGAGGAGCUUGCUCCUCUGACGUUAGCGGCGGACGGGUGAGUAACACGUGGAUAACCUACCUAUAAGACUGGGAUAACUUCGGGAAACCGGAUCUAAUACCGGAUAAUAUAUUGAACCGCAUGGUUCAAUAGUGAAAGACGGUUUUGCUGUCACUUAUAGAUGGAUCCGCGCCGCAUUAGCUAGUUGGUAAGGUAACGGCUUACCAAGGCAACGAUGCGUAGCCGACCGGAGAGGGUGAUCGGCCACACUGGAACUUAGCCACGGUCCAGACUCCUACGGGAGGCAGCAGUAGGGAAUCUUCCGCAAUGGGCGAAAGCCUGACGGAGCAACGCCGCGUGAGUGAUGAAGGUCUUCGGAUCGUAAAAAUCUGUUAUUAGGGAAGAACAAAUGUGUCAGUAACUAUGCACGUAUUGACGGUACCUAAUCAGAAAGCCACGGCUAACUACGUG